rnacentral:rRNA from 1 species
CCUACGGGUGGCAGCAGUGGGGGAUAUUGCACAAUGGGGGAAACCCUGAUGCAGCGACGCCGCGUGUGGGAAGACGGUUCUCUGGAUUGUAAACCACUGUCCCCAGGGACGAAGAUGACGGUACCUGGGGAGAAAGCUCCGGCUAACCACGUGCCAGCAGCCGCGGUAAUACGUAGGGAGCGAGCGUUGUCCGGAAUUACUGGGUGAAAAGGGAGCGUAGGCGGGGAUGCAAGUUGGGUGUCAAUACUACGGGCUCAACUGGUAGUCGCACUCAAAACUGUAGCUCUUGAGUGAAGUAGAGGCAGGCGGAAUUCCUAGUGUAGCGGUGAAAUGCGUAGAGAUUAGGAGGAACACCAGUGGCGAAGGCGACCUGCUGGGCUUUUACUGACGCUGAGGCGCGAAAGUGUGGGGAGCAAACAGGAUUAGAUACCCUAGUAGUC